UCAGGAUAGCUCRAUCCGGUAGAGCRGAGGANUGAAAAUUCUCGUGUCGCCAGUUCAAAUCUGGUUCCUG
rnacentral:tRNA from 1 species